GAAUGGGAAAACAAAAUCAUGUUGCGUUGCCGCUGCCGUUAUCGAUCCGCAAUGUCUUUUAUCAUAUUCUCGUUUGAGAGCAAAGCCCGGUCGAAAAGUCAACGCGACUUAAGGAGGAGGAUUUCGAAACACCGAAAAGGAAGGGCGUUCAAAGGAACGCGUGCGAGAAAAAGUCGACUCGUUAGUAGGUCAUCGCCGAUGUUAUUCCUUCCCUUCGUCAGGAUUACGUCACCCGUAUGCUUCCCGACUCGAGGCCCGCACGCCAACGCUCGUUCGUUAGUGCACGUGAAGAUAUGCCGUGUGGGAUUAAUGCUUAAUGUAAAAAUUAAAAAGGAAACCAAAAGAAAGAGGAUUUCUCCAUGCGCUACUUCGUGAUCGAUGAGGAGGAGAUUGUUUGAUAUCAAGAUGCUCGAGCACAGGCAGACGCUAAUAUUAUCUCGAUUCAACUUCACCGAUGUACACUAAUGUUCCCGAUACAUCGAUACAUAUUCCAAGUGUGCGGGGCGGUUUGCCGGGCGUCCUUUCGCGUUCUCGCCGGAAGGACCUGCUGGUGUUACGCUCGAUGAAGGCGCGUGAGAGCGCGCAGGACGACGCGAGAAAUGGACGGGUGUGGAUCCUUGGCUGGACACGAAACGCGAAGCGCAGAGCAGAGCAGGGCAGGCCAGGCCAGGGAGCAAUGUCCCUUCGAAGAGUCAUCCCCUUCCUCGCUAUCGCGCUUACUCGCGACGCAAGAGUAUCGGUCAAUUUUCAAAUGCCAGUCAUCGCGAAAACCAAGUUUCGAAGUACGAAAGGAUCGUUAUGGCGCGCAUAUAUAACGGGGAGCCGCGUUGGAAGGCAAGGAACCGAGCAAGGCAGGCAAGGCACAAGAGAAAGAGAGCUGAAUACUGAGAAGAAAUAAGAUGACGGAAAAGAGGAGGAAGGGGCAAAGCAGCCCCGAGCGAUACAGCCCUGGCCGUAGGCGCAAUGGAGAGUAGGAGAACCAGUCGAGUUUCUCAGAGAGAGCGCGCACGCUCCGAGUUAGAACUAGCUAGAGUUUUGCUAGAGCGGAGCCAAGGACACUAGACAAUCAGCAACAGCAGUCGGAGGAGUCAAACGGCGGUGACGGCGGCAGCAGUAGAGGCGAUGGUGAGACCCCUUCACCCCGACCCACAUCGUCUACAUGUCCGUCUACCCCUUUACCCCCCGACUACUACCAUCGUCGUCCUCGCCCCCUCCAUGCCAACGACGUUCCCGUCCGUCACCACCAUCGCCGCCGCCGCCGCCGCUUCUGUCCCGAGAGUCUCUCUCCGAAGCUUCUCCUUCCAGGCACUUUUUUGCCCGACUAUACGCCUCUCUCGUUCAUCGCGACAAGGCACCAGCUCGGUAUCUUUUUAUCAGUCGACCGAAAAGCCCCGUGGAGAUUUUACUAUGGUAUCGCGCCACGCACAUUUGUAUUGGCUAGCUCGUAUGCGAACAACCCUCGCACACAUGCUUUAAAAGAUUUAACAUAUAUGUACAUGUAUAUAUACACAUGUAAAUACACAUGUCGCGUUAGAGCGCAUUCUUUUAACAGCCGCCCUCUCCCCUUGUUUUUGUUCGUAUAGCGAGAACCGCGCGAAACGGCGUGACCGUCCUGUUAAACGCGCUCACUGAAGGGGGUGAGAGGGGCGAAACGGAGGAAAGAGAAGGCGCGCGACAUAAAGUUGCGGCAAUAGCAGUGCGUUUGCGACGCGAGUCACGCGUGUCGGGGUAAACGUGUCUCAUUGCCAGCGUAGCAGUUCCGCUGGUGGGACGUGGGACGAGGAACGACGCACCACUACUAUUCGGGUGUUUUCGCCAGAGCGUUGCCUUCGCUGCCAACGUGGGACUCGGAUGAGGAAUAUCGAAAUUACCAGUGGGCAACUUGGGCUAGGCAGAGAUUACCAAACACGCAACAGUGGUCGGUUCGCGCCCUAAUGCUCCCGUCGCCAUAACAGGUGAAUUUCGGGCAUUCUCGACGAUACAGUUUACGAAGCACGUGUCUCACUCGGCGCUGUGAAUUUUCCUCCUCCUCCUCCUCCUCGUCGUUGUCGUCAAAGAGGGGACACGAGCCAACGGACGUUGGUACCUCGUCGCGCCGGGUAAUUAAAUCGAGCGACGCAACUUUGUGGUGAUAACGACUAACGACGAUUGUGCAACCUGUGCGCCGCCCCGAGCCCCGAGCAGGAGCGAUCGUGUGGAUGCACGACGUGUUCGUGAGUCACGGCGGGGUGCUGCCGGUGUGUGGGUCACGAGUAAGACGGACACGAUAAUUCUUGGCCGAUGAAGAGCAGAGCAGCACGAGGACGAGUAGUAGAAGGAGCAGCAGCACGAGCAAGAGCAAGUGGCUUUGUCAUCGUAGAAGGUGGUGGCGCCGUGGAGAAGCAAAAGAAGAAACGAGGACGAAGUGGCGGCAGCAGUGGCAACGGCGACAAUACGGCGACGAACAGCCAAGUCCCCCCAUGUUAGCGGACAUCAACGGCAACCUGGCGGAUCUGAGAAGCGAAGCGAUGGCGUCGCAGAGGUUCUGUUUGCGCUGGAACAAUCACCAGAGCAAUCUGCUUUCCGUCUUCGACCAGCUGUUGCACGACGAGUCGUUCGUCGAUGUCACGCUGGCCGUUGAGGGCCAAUUACUCAGGGCGCAUAAGAUGGUGCUGUCGGCAUGUAGCCCCUAUUUUCAGGCCUUGUUUGUUGGCCAUCCCGAUAAGCACCCGAUAGUCAUUCUCAAGGAUGUUCCGUAUGUGGACAUGCGCAGCCUUUUGGACUUUAUGUACCGCGGCGAGGUAAGCGUCGACCAAGACCGACUGACCGCCUUUCUACGAGUCGCCGAGUCCCUAAGGAUAAAAGGCCUGACCGAAGUGAACGAGGAUAAAUGUGAUCUACCAAGUAUCACAUCCUCGCUAUUGGGUAGCGGUCAGAACACGGUGGCGCCGCCGCCGCCCAAUCUUCAUCGGAUCAACCAAAUCGGUCAACAUCAUCACCAUGUCGCGCAGAAGAGGUUCCAUCAUAUGUCCAGCCAUCCGUUACUCGGCUCUGCACUUACGGCGCCCAAGAGAAAACGCGGUAGACCUAGGAAGUUGAGCGGCUCAUCGGACACGCCGAUUGGUGAAAUCGGUGGCCAAGACUUACAAUCCUGUUCGGGCGCCGAUUUGGUACAAGGUUCACCUGAAAUGAUGGAAAUGAAGAUGGGGCUGGACUUUCAGAGCGAGGUUAGCGGCAACAGUAACAUCAGGAGUGGCACCAACACCGCCAACAGCGUUGGUGGCAAUUCCGCGGCGGGCGCUAAUAAUUCCGCCGCCGGUACAGCCUCCUCAGGAUCGUCGUCGACGAGGAGAGACGAGCCUACGGAGAAUGGCACCGAUACGCCAGAGCCGCCAGUCACGCGGGUUAAACGGGAACCAGAACCGACACCCAGCACCUCGGCGCAAGCCUCGGAUGAGACAUUCGCGCGGCCGCACAGUAGACAAGGGAGUGAAGGUUUCAAGCAAGAGUUCUCGUCGAACAAAUCGGAUAGCGGCAACGAGACCUGGAAAGAGAAAACCCGUGGCCUGAACCAGGGUUCCUCACCGGCUGCGAUGGACAUAUCGUCGUCUCCGAAUUCUUCGUCGUCCUCGUCAUCGUCAAACGUACGGGCGAGCACGUCGUCGUCGACAACGACGACGAACGCUGUACCGACGACGACAAACGCGGGCGCGACAUCAACGACGACCAGCGCGGGUGGCGGCACGCUGACCCGGAGCUCGUCGGCGUCGCCAGCUUCCAGGACACCAAGUAGCGGCAGUGCGAAUACCACAUCCGGCGCUGGCGCAAUGUCAGCGCCUAGCGGCCGUCAGGCACCGAAGCGGCGGAUGCGACGUCGCGCCACUUCGCAGUCCCAGGAUCCGGCCGAACAGCUGACGGAGAUGUCAGUGCGCGGCUUAAAUCUCUUCCGUUACGCUUCCAUCAAUGAGGGCGUUUAUCAGUGCACCGAAUGCGCCAAGCUCGACAUCCAGAAAACCUUCAAGAACAAGUAUAGCUUCCAGCGGCACGCGUUCCUCUAUCAUGAGGGUCAUCAGCGCAAAGUGUUUCCCUGCCCGGUAUGCGGCAAGGAGUUCUCGCGUCCGGACAAGAUGAAGAAUCACAUGAAGACCGUGCACGACUGUUUUAUGCCCAAGGAUUGCGUCAUGCCCUUCGGCUUUUAUUUGCCUGGUGGGCCUUAGCGGGCGGGGCGAGGGCGAGGUGGGCUGCCGAUCGGCCCGGCGGCGGUUCAGAGGCACGCGAGGAGGCUCAGUGCCACCGCGACGUCCAGAAACGUGGCCGCGGCGGCCAGGGCGACGGCCUUUAGGCGCGGCGGCCGCUCUUGAGCGAUGCUUGUUUGGCAACGGGGUGGAUGAAUAGAGAGAAUCGCGGGUUUAUAAAGAUUGAAGGAUCUCGAAACGAAAGCAGCGCAAUCUUGGAAAAAUUAUUUGAAAAAAUAGAGUUUAGAUUUAUAUAAUAUUUAUCGAAAUAGAGGAAAAUGUAUGCGUAUAUGCGUAUAAGCAUUUAUACUAAUGAUUAAAUAUCAAAUGUACAAACUUUCAACUUUAUUUGCAUAUAAUUAACAUUUUUCAAAAUUGCAAAAAUGGAAAACUAAUUCAUUAUGAUUGGUAUAGUAAUUGCUGCUGCCUUUGUUAGUAGAGCUAUCACGGACAUAUUGGCAAACAAUUGGUAAGUAAGUAAAUUGCUUUCCAGCAAGAGAAAUCUUGCGGAACAAGUUGCCGAAGAAAGUAAGCCAACUGUUGAUUGGAUAUUAUUAUCUUUAACAUUUUAUCUGCUCACUAUUGCUAUCAUCGCGUUUGCCGACAUACGUAAGAUAUCCCAUGCCGAAAAAAAUUUGGACCAACUGCGUAGCCCAUCUCACCCCCGCGAUGACGGUGAUGAUCGAUGAUGAUUCGUUUCGGCCUAUCCUCCGUGAAGCAGAGGAUAAGAGACUUUCAAAGAAAAAAAGACAAUGUUGUCCUUUGAGAAAAUACGAGAGAGCGAGCUCAAAGGGAGUCUAGAGAAGAAGGGGGAAGGGCCGAUGAUACGUGACAAAGACAAAAAAAAAAAAAACAGCCUUCUUUAGCUUCCUAUGUACAUUAGUAUUAUAUGAUCCUUGAACUGUGCAAUAACGAGCUCGAUCCUCGGUUACUCGUCGAAUCAGCGUAAUUCAGACAGCACGUGAAGAGAAAUUGUGGUGCAUUAGCGGAACAGUCUUUUUAUAAAUUAUUCUAUUUUCGAUCAAAAAGCACGGAAGACAUGUGGUGAUCAAGUCAAAAUGAUUAUCUAAAAUAUAUAAGACAAAAAUUCUUGAAAUCGUAACGAUUAAAUUGAUAGAAAUUCGCUUUCUACAUGCACCACGAAACAGUGUCGUGAUUCUUAUCCCCUGAAAAAGUCCUCGUAUCAAAUGUUCGAAAAAUCGAACAUUGGUCUUCCGAGCAGCAUCGAAUUAAAAGCACUAUUUCUUAUGGAAGUAUACUCAGAAUCUUUAGAACACUUACGAUAUAAGAGUUGCUUCAAAAAAAAAAUAAGAAAUAUCCCUUUCUUAAGAGAGCUCGACUAUUCGGGGCCCGAAACGAAAAUCUGUGACUAAAUGGCAAAUUUUUUCCGCCGAAAAAUGAUAAAUGAUGAAGAAAAGAUUACAGUCUCAAUAUUAUUUAUCAACUUCUAACGUUUCACGAACAAUACAAAUACGAAUCAUUUUGACAUGUCAAAUAUCUCUUGUGCCAGCAAUAUAGAAAGAGAUAUCUUUUUAAUUUUAUAUACACAUUAAAUAUUCCAAGUUUUAAAAGUUUUUGUUAAAUUAGAAUUCACUCGAAAUUAAAUGUAAAUUUAGAACAAUUAAUUGCCGAUUUAUAUUCCUUGAAAAAUUUAAUUUAUCAAAAUUAUUUUAAUGUUGAAAACUCGAUUUAGAUUUGAUUAAAUAAUGCAUUCCUACUUUCCUAUGGAAUUUUUGCGCGCGAUGCAAUAUAUAAGAAAAUUAUUAAAAUUAAGAGAAACCAAAUUAUUGUUUCGUGAAACGAGCAGAAUUAAUAUGUUAAUUCUCUCUCGACAUAUACGCGAAAAAAGAGAAAAUAAAAAAAGAAAAAAACGAACGAGGAAGAAAGAGAAAGGGAGAAAGACGAGGAUGUAUAUUUAUCGCUAAGUAUAUUAGUGUGGCUACGUAGAGAGAGAGAAAGAGAGAGAGAGAGAGAGAGAAAAGAAAAGAAAAAAAAGAUUCGAAAGAAUAUGGGGAAUAUAUCCUGUAUAGUGUAAUCUUGUCUGGUGUACAGGUUUCUUCCUUUUCUUUCCUGUUUUUUUUUUUUUUUGUUUCUCGAGGAAGUGUAUUAUAGCAUUAUUGAUUAUUGAUUAUAUUAACUAGUUACUUGCUAUUAUCGAUUACUUUCGCACUUGCUAUUGAUACAACCAUAACAUUAUUUUUAUUGUCACUGUUAUUAUAUUACAGCUUAUUAUAUUAUUAUUAUUAUUUUUAUUAUUAUUAUUGUUCGAUAAGGAUUAUUAUCUUUUAGCUCUGGACCAGCAUGGAUAUAAAAUUGGUUAUUAUUAAACUAAUUAUUAUUAUUAUAUUAAGUAUGUAAGCGAAUGCACACAUAGACGCACGCGCACAUAGAGAGAAGACGUUAUAUGUUGUAUAUGUACACAGAUAUUUUGCAGAGACGCAUACAUAAUGUAUGGAUCUCUUGUUUCCCUUUUCCUUGCCUGCAAAAAAAUCCAAACGAAGAGAUCUAUUUCCAAUUCGGAAUAUCGUUGACAACAAGAGAGAAAGAAUGAGAAGGAGAGAGAGUGAGAAGAUGAGGGAUGACACCAGCUGUCAUUUAAUUCUUCAAGAAUUACGAAGACAAGUACAAUUUCUGCGUGUAUAUGUACAUCUCUAUUAAUGAAUCGACCUCGCAAGAGCUUUCGAGGGAGCACCGAGAACCGAAAGCAGUAUUUUCGUCUUCCGCAUUGGUGUUAUCCGUGUAUGUGUGUGAGAGAGAAA